UGAAAAUAUUCUAUAAAUAGUUCAUAAUUUCCCCUCCUUUGGUAUGUUCUAUAUUUACACCACGCCGCUAUGUUUAAAGCUGUGUUACAUCAUAUCUUAAAAGCUUUUGCGAGAUUGUUAUACAAAUACUCUGAUAUCAGUCCAUGCGAUUGUAUAUGCACUGGUCAGCUUAAAGACGAAGACACGCUCCCUCUUUAGAAACCAAGGUUGAAAUACUUUGGUUUCGUUAUUGAAAAUUAAAAGACAAGGAUUGAUUUGGUGAGAAACCAGAAUCGAAAUGAUGCUGCCGUUUGGAAGACGAUUCAACAUGAUAUAUAUAUACUUCUAUUGCUUUUAAUCAUGCUGCCAGCUGGAUCAUUUUCCCCAACAUUUUCAUGUAUUGAAAACAAUUCAAAUUCUAAAGUAGUUGUUGGUAUAUUAGAACAGUUGUGUAAUCAAGUUAGAAACGUAAAAAUGGGAGUUUGUUUUGGGGAUUUACGAAGCGAAGGAAGAAUAAAAGAAAUAAGAUAAAUGUCUGCGAAAGGCGAAUGAGCAAAAAGAAAGUACUGUAAGAGAAUGUCAUUGAGAAAAUGACGUUUGAUUGCAUUCAAUUAUUUUAUAUCAUAUUUAUCUACGAUCUAGUUCGUCAUUACAACCUAUCAUUGAGUCAAAUGCUGUUUGACAUGUUUCAUACCGAUUGUUAUGCCGUUCUUGGCACACUGAUUUUGACUAAGGGUAUCUCCGUUUACCUGAUCAGGAUAUAGGGCUCACGGCGGGUGUCACUGGUCGACAGGUGAUGCUUACUCCUCCUAGACACCUGAUCCCAACCCUGGUGUGUCCAGGGGUCCGUGGUUGCCCAACUAUCUACUUUGUAUUGCUUAUAGGAGUUAUGAGACUGUUCAUUAUCUUCACCUUUCAUUUAUUUAUUUUAAUUGUAAGAGAGGUGGUGCCGUGUUUGUUGGAGAUUUCAAAUGAAUGUAGUCUAAUAUGUUUCAUGUAAUCGUUAUUCCUCGUUCGAAACAUGGGGAAAUGGUUCACUUGUGCAGCAUUGAAAAGAUCCAGAAAGACAAUGGUGAUAUGAAGAAAGUGAAGAAAAAAAAAUAUAUAUAGAGCAACAAUAUGAAAGUAUCAUGGAACAGUAAGAAUAACAACAAGCUAUUGCAAUUGGAACAAGACGCUUUCAGCGAGAGCGAUAUAAUCUCAAAACCCCUUUGAGAUUUUCAUGUCUGACAUCUUCCAAGGAUGAGAAUAAAACGAAGUUAAAGAAAUUGGACGAAGAUGCGCGAAUGCUCAAAGAGGCAACAAUGAGAGUAAUAGUGAGUAAUAUACAUCGAUAUCUUAUCUUCUGCUAAUAUCAGGAUGUAAAUUAUUUUGACUGCAGUCACAUAACCACCAUUGAUAUUGCCUACAUAAUCAGUAUAAAAGUUACUGUCCUUGAUUUGUAUAGAAUUCAAAAUUGCCGUUGGUAGUAUCAGACGUUUUCACACCGAAAAAUGAAAUUGUUGAAUUUGCUGACUACGUAUAAACCAUAUUAGAUCACUUACAAAUCAGGUAACUAAUAAUCUAAAGCAGAAUAUUUGUAAUUUCAGUUUGCGAAUGUACAUCCAAAUCCCUUUCAAAGAAAAUAAGGUGCAUCAAUCAGAUGGCGUGUUGCAAUUAUAGCGUGAAAUGCAGAGAGGUGCUUUUUCGGGAACCUUUACUACAACUCUCUCCAAAGACUUGGUUUAGUGGUAUUGACGGCUUCGUUAGCGAUCAGUAACCCUCAUCGAUACUUGAAUAUUUGUAUCGCUAUUGUGAGGUGACAUAUGUCAACAGUUAAUUACUUUGAAAACCUAGGUAUAGACCACUAUGAUGUGAUCAUUAAUAAGGAUAUCCCGAAGAACUCAAGGAAACUUAUACCACUUGAAGGGAAUUUUUCAAACUUUGUGUGAUGGACCCCAUCCAAAACGAAGCUCCACACAGAUGUCGUUUGAUCUUAAUCCUUAUCAAACGCAAUAUUUUGACAUAGCAAUAAAGACUAUUAUAUUAUGACAAAUAUAGUAUAUCGCCGGUAGAAUACCAAUCAUCGCCACUUGUUGAUGUUUAGCGAUUUAUGCAAUUCAUAUACAAGCUAUGUUAUAUUUUUUCACAAUAAAAGUUACCAAAAGUUGUAGUUGUAUCAAAUCAGAUAUGAUACCAAACUUGUGGUCCUGUGCAAAACAAAAAUAUCCUUUUCGUGGAUGUGACAGUCGGGUGUAAGUAACAGUUAUGUCCAUCCUUAUCAUAACUACAACCGGCAUCAUUUCUGUAUAAAUAUUCAUUUUGUUUGUUUAUUUUACAUCCUGUCGAGAAUAUAUUUAUUUUGUGCGUUUGCGUGUGUUUAUAUUACCUGUAAGGUGCAAAUCAAACGAGAAUGCUUUUAUUCCUUUCUAAAAAUAAUUUAUUGUAUUUGUUAAGUUUCCAAAAAGGUAUUGAGAGAGAGAGAGAGAUAGAGAGAGAGAGAGAGAGAGAGAGAGAGAGAGAGAGAGAGAGAGAGUUAUGUAAAUAAACUUUUCCAGAACUCCCAGUCAUCAUAAAAAUCCACUUGUUUGUUAUUUUCAUAUUUAGUAUAUUUACUUGUCUUAUACAUAAUCUUAAUAGAAGACAUCAAUCCAGUCAAAAGGAGAAUCAUGCCUGAACAGUGAUCACUAUUAUGUAAUGUUUUGUUUGAAGCGCAAGUAUUUUUACUAUACUAUACGAUGUAACCACAUAUUAUGAAAUACAUGUUUUGAACAAGUAACAUGUAACUCAGUUAUAUGUAAUAGUUUGUUUAAAGAACAAUGGUAUUUUUAUUAUACGAUGUAUCUACAGAUUGUGAAAUAAAUCUUUUUGAACAAGUAAUAUGUAACUGAGUUUUAUAUAAUAUUUUGUUUGAAGAGGAAUAUUUUUACUAUAAGAUAUAUGUACAGAUUGUUAAAAAAAUCUUUUUUUUAACAAGUAACAUGUAACUCAGUUUUAUGUAAUAGUUUGUUUAAAGAACAAUGAUAUUUUUACUAUACGAUGUAUCUACAGAUUGUGAAAAAAAUAUAUUUGAACAAGUAA